ensembl:lncRNA
CAUUUACCUCAGUACACUUAACCACUAUCCUCUAACCCCUGACCUCUACCUCAGUAAAACACCCCUAACCCAAAUUUAACCUUAAAUAAGGCAUUUAAACGUAGACACACAGUUUCUCAUAGCGUGUGCCAUUAACAGCCUCCACUCUCCUCCUAUACGGUCUCUUGUCUCUUGAGAGAAAUGCUUUAACUUUGCUUUACUCGGACAUUUAAAACGUACUUUUCACAAGAAGUGUCUAACAAACAAACUGUGAUGAAACUAAAACAAACAGAAAUAAACAGAAACAAAUGGCUUUUUCAGCUUCUCUCUGCGUCUUUGUUCACUCAGAUCACGCGAGAUUUCCGUCAGCUGUUCACUCUGAACCAGACUUUGGGUGCAUGUGGCCUAACUCCGCCUACUGUCCUACCUCACAUGACUGACACUUGGUGUGAACUCUGCUGAUUGGGCACAGCUGGUCUCUUAGCCCCGCCCCCUGGGCUAAAAUAGCUUUACUGUGCUGUUUGCCUUUGUGCGGGGGAAUGUUACAGACGUGUAGUGUACAUCAUUAAUUAAAUAAAAAUAAAAUCUAAAUAAUAAAAACAAAAACCCAGAUACUUCACAGUAAGAGCUGGGGUUAGUGUUUGGGGUUCAGUGAUUAUGUGCACACAGGUGGAGAUAAUAAUAUAAAAUAUUCAACUUUUUUUUUUAAAGUAAUAAAGUCUCAGUGUUUUAUCGAGUGAAAACACGGAGCUUCUGUAUUUACAAAUAGAUCACUGUUUUUUUUACUUAUUCGACUACACUAAUACACAAGACACUAAGAUGUCCUCACAAAGACAGAACAAGUGCGUGUGUGUGUGUGAGAGAGAGAGAGAGAGAGAGAGAGAGAGAGAGAGAGAGAGAGAGAGAGAGAGAGUGUGUGUGUGUGUGUGUGUGUGUGUGUGUGCGCACUGUACUUUCUUUUGUAUGCUUUUGCUGUCACUGUGAACUGUGUGGGCGCUUUGUGCAAGAGGGUGUGUGUGUGUGUGUGUGUGUGUGUGACAAGACAGUCCUGCACAUUCUUACAGGGAACUCCUCCCACAGAGAAAGAAAUAUAGAGGAGGAGCUGUGUACUGAGGUGAAGAAGGAGAACAGAGAAAAACAGUAGGGGCAGGAAUAAUGAAUUCACGUGAGAAACACACACACACAAAGAGAGAGAGAGAGAGAGAGAGAGAGAGAGAGAGAGAGAGAGAGAGAGAGAGAGAGAGAGAGGGGAACGAGUGUACCUCUUCCUCCUCCUCCAUGUCCCACUCAUCUGGGUGAAAGGUAACAAUUUCUGGGUGAGACGCACAAUACACAAAAGCACAACAGUUCGUGUUCUCUCUCUCUCUCUCUCUCUGUGUGUGUGUGUGUGUGUCUCUGUCUGUGUCUCUCGCCCACUCUCUCUCUCCUCCAUGCUGUGUUCACCAAACAAAUCCUGACAGAUUAACCAGGCAAGAGACGCACAACAAAAGCUCAUUUGCAUCGAGCUGAAGGGAAUCUCAUGCUGACACACUCUCACGCUCUCUCCCUCCCUCUCUCACUCUCUCACACACACACAGAAAACAUGCACAAACUCUAUAAUACAUGCUGCAUGGGUUACUUCAUUGCAGUGUCCAUCAUGUUGACUGAAAAGAAAUAUCCCCUUAUCCUUUCUUAUCUCCUUUCACCUUUACCCUCAUUGUCUUUCUUCCUUUGUUGUUCCUUUGCUACACCUCUAUGCUUUUCUUAAUAAAAAAGAAGCAAAAAAGCAAAAAAGCAAACAACAACAACAACAACAACUGUAUGGGUGAGUUCCUCCUAGAGAGCUCCUGCACACUUAAGUUUCUAGAUCUACAAGCUCUUGCUCAUGUCCCGGAGUCUCAAAGCUCCUGAUUUGGUCCUGAAAUUUCAAGCUCCUGCUCCUGUUGCUAAACUCCUGCUCCAGUGUUGAUGUCUAUAAGGUCCUGCUCCUGUCCUCAAGUUUACAAGUUCCUACUCCUGGUGUUUCAAAGCUCCUGUCCUGAAGUCUCAAAGCUGUUUCACAUGAUGUUUCAAAGUUCUGCUCCGGAAUUUGCCAUGUUCCUGCUCCUGUUUUGAGGUCUAAAAGCUUUUGCUCCCGCCCUCAAGUUGCUAAGAUCCUGCUCCUCUCCUGAGGUCUACAAGUUACUUCUCCUCUCUCUCCUGAAGUCUACAAGUUACUUCUCCUCUUUCUCUUGAGGUCUACAAGUUACUUCUCCUCUUUCUCUUGAGGUCUACAAGUUACUUCUCCUCUUUCUCUUGAGGUCUACAAGUUAAUUCUCCUCUCUCUCCUGAAGUCUACAAGUUACUUCUCCUCUUUCUCUUGAGGUCUACAAGUUACUUCUCCUCUUUCUCUUGAGGUCUACAAGUUAAUUCUCCUCUUUCUCUUGAGGUCUACAAGUUACUUCUCCUCUCCGGAGGUCUACAAGUUCCUGUUCUUGUCAUGAGGUCUACAAGUUACUUCUCCUCUCCGGAGGUCUACAAGUUCCUGUUCUUGUCAUGAGGUCUACAAGGCCGUCCUCGUAGGCGUCACCCAUUGUACUAUGACCAGGGUCUGAUAGUUCAGUAUGUUUGAUUGGGCAUGAGGUCAGUAAUUGGUUGUGGAUGAGCUCAUAAUUGAAUUUUUAUUAAUUUUACUUCAGUGUCACUCAGUACUGACAAACCGAGUCAGAGUGGAACCCCAAAUUCUCACCGGAUGGGUCACGGUAAUGGUGCGUAGCAACCAUCUGUUUAACACACACACACACACACACACACACACACACACACACACACACACACACUCCACACUCCACACUCCUGGCACAAGAGACUUCAGUUUUAACUGAAAAACUAACACACAACCGUAUUGUAUAAAAAUUUCACUGUGGUGAUAACCUACAGUCACGAUCAUAAUGUGCAACAAAUAUGUGCAUAAGGGUUUAAAAGAUGGUGUGUGUGUGUGUGUGUUCACCUGAGUUCUCCAUAUAUUCAAUAGAAACCAUGAACCUCUGACUAUGUGAUGUAAAAAUAACUGCUGCUGUUGGCCAAAGGAGUGUCUGUUAUUGCCAAUGUUUUUCCUCCUAAAUCCAUCCUGAGGAGCUCCUCCUCGCUCUUAACCUCUGGACGUACGUGUGUGUGUGUGUGUGUGUGUGUGUGUGUGUGCGCGUAAGUAAACCCAGCGCCAAGCACAACAGGCCAUACUGUUCCUUUGGCUCAGGAGUAAGUUUACAAAUCACACCAGAACAUUUUGUUUUGCUACUGUUCUUCAAUCAUUAUGUGUGUGUGGUUUUUUGAGAGUCCAGGUAAAAUGCAAACUGAAAAAUAAAAGUUAAUGAUCGGUGUGUGUUUGUGCUGAUUUUAUUAUAGAAUACAUUAUGCAAUGCUCUGUGAGCCGUGUGUGCGUGUGUGUGUGUGUGAUUGCACUCAGCCACAUGCCGAACUAGCGCUGUAGCACAAAAUUACAGGCAACUCCUACACAAUAAAACUGCUCACUACAGGCAGUCGAAAUAAAUUUAAACAACGUGUGUGUCUAUCUAACACACACACACACACACACACACACACACACACACACACCUUACCGUAAGCAUAUACAAAAUGCAUAGUGUAGGUGCAGAACCUAUAGACAUGUGUGGUGGAGUGUGAUAAGGCUUCUAAAGUCAAUGUUGAACAACCACAAGCACCUCUGCAUUCUCUCUCUCUCUCUCUCUCUCUCUCACACACACACAUACACACACACGAGAUUUUUCCAUUAGUACGUCAAUUAAACUGAACCAAAAACACACACACAAAAAGCAAUUACUGCAGGUUAUUAUUGCAUGCAUGAUAGUCAGCUAACUACUGAUGACUGAGCUAGCUAAAUAGAAAAUAAAAGGUAUUAUUUAAAAUAAAUAAAUAAAUCAAACAAAAAUCUAAAUAAACAGUAUAUUUCGACAAAAAGGGUUCAGUCCUUAACCCUUUCAGCUGUGAACUCAGUCUCAGAUUGCUAACUCUAAAGACGCCUCACACUUAAAACAUACACUCACUUAAACAUAAAUAAACAGUGUGGACCAUAAUUGGUGUGUGUGUGUGUGUGUGUGUGUGUGUGUAAAUAGUGGUGUAAAAAUACUCAGACGAGAUGAUUGAGAUCACUGAGGUGCUCGUUUGCCUUGUUUAGAUCCAGCACACUGCACUGCUAUUUAAAUCCAUGCUAACUGUUCUCAGUAUGGUUAGCAGUCGACGCUAAGUGUAAUUAAAGUGUAACUCGAGUCUUUUCUAAGCAAUCUAACACCACAUCUGAGGUAAACGUUGAUAUUUCCGACUGUACUGUGUUAUUUUUGCUGUCGCUGUGUUUAUACGUUGGCUAUAUUUGAUUUAAAAGAAGAUUGAAUAACAGUCUAUGCUAGCUAGCUAAAUGACAAGCCAGAUUAUGCUUUGUAUCCAUAUUUCUCAGUUGCCCAGCAACAGUGCUCUCAUGACUUUAAUCACCUGAACAGCUCACUUAGCAGUGAAAAUAAUGACCAUGUCAGAUCAUAGGUUUGUUUCUGUGUCAUAGUCUUUUAUCUGGUGGAAAAAAAAAACAAAACCCAAACACAACAUUUCUUUUUAAACCCACACUGUGUUUAUGAGCUUGUGGAAAAAUAAAAUGACUUCAUGUCCUACUGUUACUCAGAUUAUAUAUUUCAUACAUAUUCAAUUUUCAGGCCACGGAAUCUUUUAUCCAAUCUCGUACCAUAGCUUGUGAUAAUGCAAUAUUUAUUUAAAAAAUAAUUACAUCUAUAGCUGUAAAGGGUGUAAUGGGAGACGCAUGAACCUUUGCAGUGACUCAGAAUUUAUUUUAUCACGUCAUCCUUGCUAGCUGGUUAGUUUCUCAGCUUAGUUUCUCGGCUAAAAUAGUUAGCUACCGGUUUAAUCAUGAGUAUUGCUAAAUGUGACCAUUGGUGAAAAAAGUAAUAAAUAAAAAAUGUAUUUAAAAUGUUUUUUGUUUUUUUUAAACAUCAGUCAGAUCAGCAGAAAUGUUUUACUUAAUAUUCAUGCUAGUCAUUGAUGCUAACCUGUUUUACUAAGCAUUCAUGCUAGCCAGUUCAUGGUGGUCAAUUUUACUCAGCAUUCAUGCUAGUCAUUCAUGCUAGCUAGUUUUACUCAGCAGUCAUGCUAGUGUCAUACUCAGCAGUCAUGCUAGUCAUUCAUGCUAGCUAGUUUUACUCAGCAUUCAAGUUUGCUCCUUUAGUUGUGGCCGAUCGGCUACAUUUGGGUUAAAGUUCUAUAUCUGAUCCCUGAUUAACUUCUCCCUUUAACACAGUGCUCUCUCACAUCAGAUAAAUAUGCUCACAUUGCUAGUCAAAUCGGCAUGCAAAGUUUGCAGUGAUGUAAUCGGAGUGCAGAUUUGUUCAGAGAGCUUCACAAGGCCUGAACAAGUGUGUCGAAAACCUCACAUAGUGUGUAAGAGUGUGUGUCGACAUGUAGCCAGUUCUGUGGUUCACAGUAACAUAAGGUACAUCAUGUCUCUCCAUGUGCUGACAGAAUGUCCGUUAUUAAUCCUGGAUAGUUUCACUAACGUUCAUGCUCGUCAUUAACCCUGGCUAGUUUUUCCUCAGCUUUCAUGCUGGUCAUUUUUAUUUUACUGUUUUUUUUUUCUUCACCAAAUUGAAUCCAAUCAUUCAAAUCAUUUCAAAAACUCGAUUUCAGUCAAAUUAAAAAAUAAAUAAAACAAACAAACCGAGUCACUUUAUUGAACUGAAUCAUUCUAAAUUUGGAAAACUUGUUUUCAGUUGAAUAAAAAAAAAAAAAUGACUGCGUUGAAUCAUUCUAAAUUUAUAAAACCUUCAUUCAUCAUAAUUUUUAAAAAUUCAAAAAUGUACAAAAUUCGCUGAAUCAAAUGACAGCUGAAUCAGUUUUGAAUUAAACCGAAUCAUAAUAAAUAUAGACAACUUGCUUUCAUCUGGAAUCCUGGACCAUGGAACUGAAUCGCUUUUUAGAGAUUCGGAUUGAACUGAACUUGGCUUCCGUUGUGUUGAAAACCAACAAGUCAUGAAUCAAAUAAUUUUCAGUUGAAUCAAAAACCAGUUGAUUCAGUUCUCAGUCAGAGUAAUUAGUCCACAUUAACUCUGUAGAAUUUGUUUGGGGAAAAAGCACCACCAUGACAGGAUUCUAUGGAGUCACCUAUAGGAAUGAAUAUGAGUGCUCUCUAGCUGUCAUGAGAGAGAGAGAGAGAGAGAGAGAGAGAGAGAGAGAGAGAGAGAUGUCGUGUCCUCGGAUAACUGCUGUGGAUCAGUAUGAUGUCAUCGCUCUGUCGAUGGAAAGCAGAGCAGCAGUACCGCAGUGCUCCUUUUUUUUCCUCUCCCUCCUCCUCAAACACGAUCACGAUGCAACACACAACUACAUCACGCAGUGUUUACUCUUUUUCAUAGGCUGUCCAUCAAACAAGGGGGCGGGGUAAUAAACAGG